rnacentral:lncRNA from 1 species
AAAUAGCAUCCUUAAACCAUAAUUCUGAUGCAAAGUUUAGGCUUGAUUGCGUUUUUUCAAUGAAGUUUUAAGAAUUAAUUUGAUCAAUUGAAAAUUUUAUGAUUUGAUUGCAUUUUCUAAUAAUGUUUUAAGACUUGAUUCAAUUCAACUGGUUUAGGAUUAGAUUGUGUGUCUUACAUAAAGUUUAGGACUAGAGGGAUAGUUAUCUAUUGGUCUCAUUUUUCCUCACCGUCCUCUAUAUAUAUCCACAGCAGCACGAACGCAGGCACAGACGAGGCUCAGCAUCAUCUUUGAGAGCUCUUCUAAGUCCUUCGUGAACGCUGUGAAAAGCGACGGGCCGGAGUCACCAUGCAACUCCAUUUGAGCAAGCCUCUCUUCCUUUCCUAUCUAUUGACAGUCGCCCUCUCUUGCGAAGCUGCACCUGGAGAGCCCAACGCCACCACUGCUCCACCACUGUGCAAUGGUCUCAGCAGCGCAGCCGAAUGCCUCAUUGCUUACCAGCAGCCGGAGUUGGAGCUCGGGGCAGGCCCGAAGUUUAUCAACACCAAGUUUGCUCUAGACAAAAACAACGCCGGCUGUGGCAGAGGCAAACGGUACAGGCCUUGCGUUCCACUGCAGAAUCAAAAAGUAACUUGUGACCAGUC